UUUGCCAUAUAUUUAGUAACUUUAUUUAAAGAUAAAAAAAAUCACACCAAAACAGAAGCCUUAAUGGACUCUAGUGGUCUUACGAAUCAGAUCAGGCCAAACUGAACUAUGAGAACACAACCCUCUUUUUCAUCCAUCAUUAAAUGAGAAUUUGUUUUCAUUUAAGAAGGCUCAUCUUAGCAAAUAUGACCAAGGCAAUAGCAACUAAUAGACAAAUCAACACGUUUGGGUCCUGGCCUGGGUUAAGAUGACCAUAUUUAAAUGGUGUCCUUUCUCAAGUUCUAUUUGAGAAAUUUCUGUUUAACCAGAAAAGCUCCUCUUGGCACUAAGUUGAGAACGCAAGAGUGGCCCUACAGCCUGCUAUUUUACAACUAUUGUGUCCAAUCUAACAGUAUUCUAGCCUCUAUUUCAUAAAGCAACUUUAUUUUCAACAUACUUGCUGCUAUGAAACAAAGUUGGGUCAUGAUGUACUGGGGACUUUGGAUUUUGCUCUAAAUGAGACCUAAACUUAAGGGCAUUUCCUCACCAUGUAAAAAGAGCUCUUCUGCUCACCUUGAUCAACUUUUCUGAAUACCUUUUAUUUGCUGGCUUGAUGAGGA
rnacentral:lncRNA from 1 species